rnacentral:rRNA from 1 species
AAAGCGUGCGCAGGCGGUUAUACAAGACAGAUGUGAAAUCCCCGGGCUCAACCUGGGAAUUGCAUUUGUGACUGUAUGGCUAGAGUGUGUCAGGAGGGGGUAGAAUUCCACGUGUAGCAGUGAAAUGCGUAGAUAUGUGGAGGAAUACCGAUGGCGAAGGCAGCCCCCUGGGAUAACACUGACGCUCAUGCACGAAAGCGUGGGGAGCAAACAGGAUUAGAUACCCCUGU